GCCAUUAAACCAGAAGAAAAAGAAACAGAACCAGCGGAGCUAAUCGAGCAAUAAUAUCGGAUAAUAUUUAAAACUAUGGACAGAAUAGAAGACCAGAUUAAGGCGGAUGAAGACAAAAAUCUACAGUUUAAAAGUAGUUGAAGAUGUUUAUUGGGGACUUUGAGGACAGGCUUUCAACAUCAGCACCGGUGACCUCUGUCUCAUCGUCCACAUCUGACCCAACUUCGUCUCAGGAUCCCCUUUAGCCUUCGCCACAUCCGACUCCAGCAGCGAUCACAUCGGGCAUCUCCAUGGGUGGAAACGAAGGAGGUGGACGUGGACUGGACCGAUGGGGCCUCUUCGGGGCGCGUCCCAGCGUGCAGAAAUCGCCCACCGACCCCGGCUCCGAUUCCAACACCUCGAGUUUCAGUCUGCAGUCGUACUUCGGGUUUCAGAAGUCCACAACCCUGGAUGGCAUCAAGACCCAAGUGAACCUCACGGUUGAAGACCCCACCAACUUCAAGUCUCCUAACCUGGAGGUGACUGGGGUGGAGGGAAAAAAGGCGUCUGCACAUAAGCUCAAACAUCGCGACAUGAACAUUCUCACUCCGUCCGGCUUCUGACAUCGGCCUCUAUGUUUUUAUUUAUUUAUUUUUCUUCCUUCAGACCGCUCAGAUCUUUUUUUUUUUUUUUUUCCCCCUCCCACCUCUUGCUCGCUCUGCAGAAAACCUUCACACACCAAACACAGGCUAAGUCAUGUAGCGUUUGUGAAACCGUAUCUUUCUUAGGUGCCAAAUUUCUUUCAGCAGUUGGACGUAUUGGUGAUUGAUUAACCCGAUGUUUCAGUUUCAGCUGACUGAGAUUGUGCAACGUCACCUGAUAGCCUCAUAAAGGAAGAUGUGAAAUCAUCGACUACAGCGUGAGCAUGAGCAUUUAGAAACUCGGCUGCUUUUUUUUUUUUUAGGAAUGUACAACAUUUUAUUAAAACCGUAUUAAACAGGGUAUUACACUGUUGCACAAGAAACCUGCUUUCACAGCACGACUUCCAACACCGUGAGGGCUCCGAUUUGUAAGUAGUACCGAUGUUCUGCUUGUUGGUUUGGUUGUCCAUAGAAUCUUUUUUUUUUCCCCUCCUCCCCCAGCAUAUAUCUAUGCAGAUGUCUCUAGGGUUUUUGCAGCAUCAUGGUUUCACGGUUGACGUAAAAAAAAAAAUACAGAAGCUAAUUUCCGUACUCUUGUUUCCUCGAUGCCACUGUGAUGAAAAAACGUCCAAGAUUUAUUAAAAAAUAAUAAUUUAACUCUGAUUACAGGAUUCCAAGUCUGAAACGAGAACCGUUUUCCGACACCUUUGACGUCAAAACAUUGUCGGUGCGCAGAGUCAUGGUCACUUCCUGUUCGUUAAAAUGACUUCGUAAUGCAUGUAACUUUUGUUUCUGUGACAAGGUGUUGAUUCUCUUGAGCAAAGAAUACCAACAGAUCAAACGUCUUCGUUUUUAAUCGCAAGUCAUGCGGAAAUAAUUUGUGGCAAUCGUUGACAUUCCGAGACGAACCACGUAAAUACAGUCUCUCCCUUUAGCUGGCUGUUGGAUCGUAUUUAAAGUGAGCCAUGCCCAAAAAUAAAAAUUCUACUUUUGAAAUUUCCGAGUACAAUAAUUCGCAGACGGAUUUGAUGCAUACACAUGGAAGGAUUGUGCCACGUCGAACGUCCAGGAAGUAUCUAAUCUGAACUGACGUACGGGUAAAGAUUAUUCCAUCCUGUAGGAAACGAAGCUCCUAGUAUAUUACACAACUUUUAAUUCUCUCCUCUUUUUACUCCAGGCAUUCUGACACCGUGAAAACUAUAUAAAAUGGACAAGAAAUACGAAUGCCAUAGUAUAUUUCCACAUAGAAAUCAUGUUUACAUUUUUGAACUUAAUACAGAUAAUUUCAGUAAACUUAAAUCAUGAAUUUUUACACGAAAUUAGCCUUUUAAACUAUUAUGAGUUGUAGCUCUUAUUUAAAUAAAAAUAAUGACCGUUUCCUUCCUUUUUUAAAUAAAAUGAACCGUUCUUUUUACAAUGAAUACACCAUUAGUCUCCUUCUGCUUCCAAGGGCGCCAAGUUUGAGCUCUGUUUGCUCGCAGCCUAUCUUCCACGCGCACCUCGCAGUGACAGUCCUUGCAUGCGACAUACAAACGAGACAAAAAUGAAGCGAACCACAAUAAAAUAACCUCUCACAAGUUUCAACACAGAAUACAAGUGAAUAAUUUGUUUGCAUGUUUUACCAACUCUGGAGCAGCAAGAGCAUGUCGUUACAGUGAGACGGGAGCAGGAAGUCUAGCGUCAGCAAUAACAGGAAGUAGUAGUAGAAGAAGAGCGGUGCUCUUCAAAAUAAAAGCACAAAAACGUCAAGUGGCAGAGCCGCAUCGUUUACCAUAAACAAAUUAGCUUCCAUUUACAUAUGUUCAUGUGACUUACUACUACUCACAGCCACGCCCACUCAAACAAGCACUCAUGAUGAUAAAGGUUCUGAGUGCGAAUUUGAAUUCUGGGUAAAAUGUUCUAUUUCUAUUGCUGUUGAGUUUCGAGACGUUUCCCUGCUGCACACACACCGCGUAUCCUGUGUGUAAAUGUUCUGCCGAGAUAGAAAGCGUCCCGCGUUUUAUGAUUCCGGAGAUUGUCAAAGCAAGUGAGCAACAAUAUCACGUGACCACCGUGGGGCGUUUUGACCUACUUUUAACCAAAACAAGUCGGCAUGGGCAAACAUAGCGGACUCGUCUCUCCCUCCAGCGGAAAAGAAAAGGAAAGCCUGCCUAGUGAGUGCAACUGCAAGAUAGAUAGAGCAAGGUUAGAUGAUGUCAUUAUUCUGGACCGAUAACUAAAUCAUUCUAGCUAGCGCUUAGCUAUCUUAGCCUUAGAAUGCAUGAGCUCGACUGCACGGUAGCGAGUAUGGAGUUAUACACCUAAUGUUUUGAUCUUGCACAGAAAGAAGCGGGAACAGAGAAAAGAGAUAUUCGUCUUUUUUUGUUUCACGGAUCUAUUCGCAAAUAUCAAACAUCCCUGUGACUCAAAACUCUCCGAGGUUGAUGCAGAGUCACAAUGUUUCCUUGGUGUGACGUAGUUUUAGUUAUGCUAAGUAGUCAAAGCUCCUCCCUCGCGUUCGGCUGUUUUCUGUUUCUGUACUGUUUACCUCAAGAGGGAGGAAAAUGGUCCCAAAAUGGAGGAAAGCGACCUCCAGCAGGCUUUCGUCUAAACCGGGGAACAGGGGCGCUGCGCCCUCUUACACUCGGCAUGCGCCCCUUUACUGAAAUGCCGAUUGAACCCCAAGUCACACUUGGGCCAUGCGCUUAUAUGCUACUGCACAACAUGCAGUCUUUCUCAAAACGAUCUUUUCUCCGUGAAAACAUCCCAGCAACACCACGUGGCAAUGUGUCUGAUCAUCAAAUACGUUAUAAUUACUCCAAAAAUAUUCCAAUCAUAGUAGAUACACCGCCAGACGGUGCAAAAACAAUCCGAAUUGGCGUUUUCCAGACUGAGGCACCAUGUUGCUUAGUUGUUUACUUGUCGCGGCUGCUCUCGCGAGAUUUGACAUGGAUUACAUACAAGGUCAGCUGACUUGUAGAGCGAGAUUUCUCGAGACUGAAUGACCUUUCACCCACCGGCACGGGAGCUUUUGACAGAAGUAGUUCGCGAGUUGUUUUUGUUGACACUUGGGCAUUUAAAGAUGUCAUCCCACGGCACAAAGCGGAAGAAAGCCAAAGACUGUCCGGGGCAGAAGAUGAUUACUUCUUUCUUUUUCAACGUUGGCAGACAAUUUGUUACAAUUUCCCUUUCAGAUAGCCUCAGAAUGUCCCAAUGUAGCCUCAAUUUUUCAAAGGCUGCAGAGGGGGGACGGACAACCGGCACCAUCCCCCCCCCGUCGCUUCGCUCCCUCGCCAUGGUGAGCGCCCUCAUACUAGAUUUUUCUAGAAAAAACCCUGCUCAGGACAUCAAAAUGAUCACCUCAUCGACAUAUUGUUCUUGCGAGACAGGAAAAUGCCAUGGACGAUAAGUAUUGUGUUAAAGCAAGCUGUAUGUAGGUUGCGUGACAAGCACAUGUACGUCGUGAAGACACAGUACUACUUUGUGGUUCAUCCAGAGAUUUUUUUUUUUUUUUAAAAACACCCUUUUCCUGGAUAUGUUAAUUAACUUGUGUGUGUGUGUGUCUUAUCCUACAGAAAGAUGGUCAUAUUCACUUGCUGGGCACUUUAAUAGGAACUUGUUCUUGAUUCUAAGAUCCCUGUUCUUGGCUGCAGGAGUGGAACCCAGUAUGGUCUUCCAUCAGCUGUUGCAUGCUGAGAUGCUUUUCUGCUCACCGCGGUUCUAAAGAGUGAUUUUAUAUGAGUUGCUCUAUCCUUCCUGGCAAAAACAACCCCCCCCCAAAUCUGUCCAUUUUCCUCGGACCUCUCUUAUCAACAAGGUGUUUGUUUCCACCCACAGAACUGUUGCCCACUCACUCGAUGUUUUUUGUUUUUCGCACCAUUCUGUUGUGUGUGAAAACCCCAGGAGGAGAUCAGCAGUUUCUGAAAUGCUCAAACCAAACCAAAAAUACUCAUCUGGCUCAAACCAGCAGUCAUGCCACAGUGAAAGAAAGUAAGUCACACUUCACUUUGAGAUCACAAUUAUUCUUUUCAGCUUGGUUGAUAUACCGUGAAACCAUGAUGUUUUUAGACACGCCUCGCACAGACGCCAUUUUCCCACUGCGACGUGUGUUACACCAGCGCUGGAAUCCCUCGUACUGGUUUGCGUGCUAGGUUUAUAUCGUUCUAGCUGUUAAGGUCUGAUGAUAGAGUGCAGCAUGAGAUCGAGGUGUUUGUGUCCCUGGUUCUUCUGUCCAUAAGCAAUAGCAUAUCGUAGGAUGUAUUUACAUAUUUUAUUACAUACAUAUGCUAUUGUUUUGUUGUUUUGGAUUUUUUUUUUUAACAAGCACUCCUUUUCUCACAAGUUUGCCUUUUUUUUUCUCCCCUCCCUGAGACAUUUCCAAACACUCUGUGAAUGUAAUCUAUUUUGUAGUUCAAAUCCUGCUAUAUGAUGUUCCUCACACCAACUGCUUUUGUACUGAUAGAUCUUAAAUAUAUAUAUAUUUUUUCCAUUUAAUGUUACGACUGGUGUGAUUGGCUUUUUUUGCAUUCCAGUUUUCUCUCUCUCACGCACACACUUGCAUCACUUAUAUAUUCACGUCUUGUUUUAGAUGGAGAUUUGUCUGCCACGCAGCUGUUCCAUUUGAGUCUGAUGCCUCAAAUAAAAUUAAGUAACAAUCCCA